AACACUAAGUUCUGUGGAACGACCUCCAUCUCCCACCUGGCUUACAAGCUGAAGCCUCGCUACCACUUUGCUGCGGUAGAAGGAGUUCACUAUGAGAGACUACCUUACAGGAAUCAUGUUGUUCUUCAGGAGAAUACUCAGCACGUCAGCAGGUUUAUCGCCCUGGCAACUGUCAACAACCCAGAGAAGAGAAAGUACCUGUAUGCCUUCAACAUUAUCCCGAUGAAAAGCAUGGAGGCAUCAGAACUGGC